AGCAAGGUUUCGACUGCUAUUUUUCAGGACCAUAUUUUAGUUACCUUGCUGUUUCUGUUGCAUGCUGGUUGCAUGUUGUGAUAAGAAAUCAAAUACGGUGAACUGAAGCACGUUAAAGGGAAAAAAAAACAUGUAGCUUACGUAAUCGAGUAAUCGUAUGUCGACAAGUCAGUUGGAAUCGACUAGAAACGCUGAUGGAGGUGGUGCCAGUCGAGCUCUGCCCAAACUUGUCACUGUGAUGUUUAACGCCCACCAUUUUGAAUUCGUUCAAUCAAUGAAAACUGUGCAAAGUUCCCGUUUUUUCCAUGAUACGGCUUCGUGAAGGUGAUUUCGCCUACGAUCAAGAUGAACUAGAUGUCAUGAAGCAGGACAUCAUUCUGCUGAAGGGGAUUUGUCUUCGGUGGAAUCCAUCCAGCCGAUCCAGCCGGCACCGUUGAUCGACAAGCCUGCCUUCGAUGGAUUAGAUCUUCUUCAUUACCAUGCACUUUUCACAAGUCACAAUUUGUCUUUCUUCACUGACGAGUUACUGGACCACUUUUCAGUGGUCGCUUCCGUCCACUAUGACACGCACACACCUGUAGUCACUCAUCACGAGAUUAUGCCUAGGUACUGGACAAUUCACUUAUCAAGUAGGUACAUCCCUGUAAACAUUUAGCCUUAAAGAUAAGGAAGUUGUUUUGUGGCAGCAAAAAUGUUGUGAUUACUAAAUACUAAUGAUAACUAUUCCGAAAACUAAAGUCCACUUGUUAAAUUUUCGAUGGUUGCUAUUUUUCUGUCUAUUUUCUGUUUCUAAAUUCGUUAGUAAGUGUGUAAAUUUUCGUGUGACGCCGAAAAGAACCCAUUAGUUAAUUAUUAAUUACCCGAAGGGUUACUGGUCAAAGUUUCGUUUACAGUAUGGUUUACAUGGGCACCCUCAGUUCUCGUAACACAACAUAGAUGGCUGCACUAGUUUUUGGCAAUUAUUGAUUGUAAUCAACAAUUUAAUUGCAUUUCAAUGGCAGCAAUCGGUAGCUUACAAUUUUUUACAUCUAUUCUGAAAAUUUGGCUGCAAUCAAUUCAGGCGUUUGAUCAAACGGAGUUCUUGUUACUUUUUGACAGAAUUUCAAUAGCUGUUAGAGCAGACGAUAACACAGAGACAUGUGACAGGAUGACAGCAUCGUCUCUAUUGAAUAUGACCAGCAUGACCCAGGAUCGAAGAAAAAGCGUAGAGUACCGCCGUUGAUUGUUGGACCAUCUCUAGCCUGUCUUAUUUUUCUUUUCAAAAUUAUCAUCCUGUUGGAGUAAUAUUGUAGGCUUAUGAUAGAAUAGAAGUCACUGUAUGUUAUUACCUAACCGCACCUAACGCUAUCAAUCUCCAGUAAAAGAAGUGCUGAUAGGUAGUUACUUACAUUUAAUUUUAACAACAUCCGGUGUGACGUGGGGUGGCGGGGCGAAGCCUCCGCCGCAACAAAGUCACGCCUUACCCUUACGCCGCGCCAUAUCAUAUUAGGUUUUUGGGAAUUGAAUUUGUAUUUAAUGUUUGGAUAGAAACAUGCGGAAAUAUGCUUUUCAUCUCUUUCUCGAUUUCUGCAUAUUACAUUCUUCCGGAAACUAAGGGCAUAACAUUUUUGUUUUAAAUAUUAUUAAUUAAUCUUAAUAAUAGGCCUACCUUUAUAACAGAAUAUUAUUUUUAUUCUAUAACUAUUCUAUAGCUCUGCCUUUAUAAAACUAUACCAAUACAGCAAUUCUACUAUUCCAACUAGUAUACCCUUAACAUCCCCUUCGGGUACCUUGCGGCGUACGUACGCUGCCUACAGUUAACACCUAGUUUAUUUUCCGUCCGAGGUCCGACUCGAGUCGUCCGUGGAUUCUAAGGGCUGUCACUAGGUGGCUAAAUAUUUCAGUGUGUUUAAGGAUUGAACAAUUCGACCCUAGUGUGUCAAAGUCCUAACUGCUUAGUCUUGUCUUUUCUUUCGAGACGGGCCACCAGACGGCGUCGGAGAACGUUAGCUUUGCGGGGUAAUUUUCUUCUCUUCCUGAAAUUGUUCGUCAGAUAAAUGGUAGCUACUUGUAUUCUUUAUGGUUAUUGAAAAUGAGAUUAUUGUGCGUGGUGAAUAUUCAAGUAACAUGUUCAUCAACGUGUACAAUUUCGUAAAAUGUCGUCUCUUGCUGUACGUCGCACGUUUCGAACAAGAUGAGGUAUUACCACGCCAUUCGACUUCGAUCAAGCUGAACCGAAAGUGAACUAAUACAAAGCAACAUAUCGAAGAUCUUGCUUUUCUCCACGUGGUCGCUGCCGUGUCAUGAAGAUGCUGGUGCUGCCUCUUCUAUAUUGCAGGACAAAUGUGAUGCAAAGAAGAAAUCUGAAAAGGAAGUUUUCUUGCAGCCAAUUGGCGAAAGAGAGUUAAAAUCAAGUUGAGCUGCGGCCCCUGGAAGCAGUCUACAUUGCUGGUGUCAUUCUGAAGUGGGGAAAUGUUACCUGAAGUUUAAACAGCAACAAAGACACAAUGAAAUGGUGACAACGUGAUGCAUCCUACGUAUGUUGGUAAUUUAAGGGCAUGUGUCGAGCAGAAGGAAGACGAGUCUCAUUUCAUUUAUUUCUGGGACGCUGUUCGAGGACAAUUUUUAGUUAUUUCUUGGUGAUGAAUGCCUUGACAUUUUUCACCAUCUAAAUGGUAACAUAUCCUUGGUUCAUGUGAUCAUGUAGCCUGCUGUAGAUAUUCCAAAAAUGUCGUCCCUUGUUGCAUGACGAGUUUCGUCACAUGAAUAGGUAUUUCCACGCCAUUCGACCAAACUGAACCGAAAGUGAACCAUUUAAUGCAACAUGUCGAAUAUUUUGCCUUUCUCCAUGGGUCCAUGGGCUGUGUCAUGAAGAUGGAUCUUUGAGAGGGUCACUACUGCAUUGCAAGACAGAAUGAUGAAAAGAGGGAAAAUAUUAAGGUAAAAGAAUCCUUUCCUUAUCUGCUGAAGAAUUUGAGAACACAGCAAAGUCUGGACCACAUUUCUGUCUUGCAAGAGGUUUUGCUGCUGCAGCCAGCCAUUGAAAGGGAGUUCAAAUGAAGUUUAGUUGAAGCUCCUGGAAGCAGUCUACAUUGCUGGUGUCAUCCUAAAGUUAAACAGCAACACAGAUAAGCUGUGUCAAUGUGAUGCUGCAUACUGUCAAUGGAGCUGGUGUUAUCCACAAGUUUAGAAGCAAAACUAGAAGCACAGGUGCAAGAACACAUCCCGAAAUGGAAGGUGGAAAUUUGCCGUGGUUUUGCAGUCUGCUGCCUGUUCAAGCUGUUGCUAUCCUGGAUUUUGCCUUAGUCCUUGAAAUAGCAAUGUUGGUGGUAUCCAGAUGUUGCUGUGGCAGUGUGGCAGUGAAAUUCGGGUUGAAGAUUAAAAUAUUUUCGUCUGAUAAAUGUUUAUCGAUCCAUGUAGCGUAUGAUUGAAGUAACUUGAUAUUAAUUUGCUAUUCCAUGUCACAUGUUGCAGCCCGUGUUGGUGAGAGUUCUUUGACAUUAAGUUCUAUCUGCUGUUGAUGUUGGUUAUGAUAUUACCUUUAUCCACAUCCACAUGAUAUCAAAUUAUUCCUUAUUAAUUGAUGGCCAAACCUCCUAAGUCAAACCUGCAAUCUUGUGUUAUGUUAACUUCAUUGUUUAUAUCUUAUCACAUUUCACUUGUAAUCUAUAUAAAUAUAAAUAAUA
rnacentral:lncRNA from 1 species